UACGUAGGGUGCAAGCGUUGUCCGGAAUUAUUGGGCGUAAAGAGCUCGUAGGCGGUUUGUCGCGUCUGCUGUGAAAACUCGGGGCUUAACUCCGGGCCUGCAGUGGGUACGGGCGGACUAGAGUUCGGCAGGGGAGACUGGAAUUCCUGGUGUAGCGGUGAAAUGCGCAGAUAUCAGGAGGAACACCGGUGGCGAAGGCGGGUCUCUGGGCCGAUACUGACGCUGAGGAGCGAAAGCGUGGGGAGCGAACAGG
rnacentral:rRNA from 1 species